rnacentral:rRNA from 1 species
CCAAUGGCGUAUAUUAAAGUUGUUGCAGUUAAAAAGCUCGUAGUUGAAUUUCGGGAUUGACACAUCGGUCGUGCCUUAAGGGGUAUGAACUGGUGUAGUCAAUUUCUCACCUUCUGGAGAACCGCGAUGCCCUUAAUUGGGUGUCGCGGGGAACCAGGACCUUUACUUUGAAAAAAUUAGAGUGUUUAAAGCAGGCAUUUUGCUUGAAUACAUUAGCAUGGAAUAAUAAAAUAGGACGGCAUGAUUCUAUUUUGUUGGUUUCUAGGAUCACCGUAAUGAUUAAUAGGGAUAGUUGGGGGCAUUAGUAUUCAAUUGUCAGAGGUGAAAUUCUUGGAUUUAUUGAAGACUAACUACUGCGAAAGCAUUUGCCAAGGAUGUUUUCAUUAAUCAAGAACGAAAGUUAGGGGAUCGAAGACGAUCAGAUACCGUCGUAGUCUUAACCAUAAACUAUGCCGACUAGGAAUCAGACGAUGUUAAUUUUUUAAUGACUCGUUUGGCACCUUACG